AUAAAGCUGACGAGUCCCUAAGAGGACGAAACGCGCGUCGUGGAU
rnacentral:hammerhead_ribozyme from 1 species